ACACAUGCAAGUCGAACGAGAAUCUUUGAACAGAUCUUUUCGGAGUGACGUUCAAAGAGGAAAGUGGCGGACGGGCGAGUAACGCGUGAGUAACCUGCCCAUAAGAGGGGGAUAAUCCAUGGAAACGUGGACUAAUACCGCAUAUUGUAGUUAAGUUGCAUGACUUGAUUAUGAAAGAUUUAUCGCUUAUGGAUGGACUCGCGUCAGAUUAGAUAGUUGGUGAGGUAACGGCUCACCAAGUCAACGAUCUGUAGCCGAACUGAGAGGUUGAUCGGCCGCAUUGGGACUGAGACACGGCCCAGACUCCUACGGGAGGCAGCAGUGGGGAAUAUUGCGCAAUGGGGGCAACCCUGACGCAGCAACGCCGCGUGCAGGAAGAAGGUCUUCGGAUUGUAAACUGUUGUCGCAAGGGAAGAAGACAGUGACGGUACCUUGUGAGAAAGUCACGGCUAACUACGUGCCAGCAGCCGCGGUAAUACGUAGGUGACAAGCGUUGUCCGGAUUUACUGGGUGUAAAGGGCGCGUAGGCGGACUGUCAAGUCAGUCGUGAAAUACCGGGGCUUAACCCCGGGGCUGCGAUUGAAACUGACAGCCUUGAGUAUCGGAGAGGAAAGCGGAAUUCCUAGUGUAGCGGUGAAAUGCGUAGAUAUUAGGAGGAACACCAGUGGCGAAGGCGGCUUUCUGGACGACAACUGACGCUGAGGCGCGAAAGUGUGGGGAGCAAACAGGAUUAGAUACCCUGGUAGUCCACACCGUAAACGAUGGAUACUAGGUGUAGGAGGUAUCGACCCCUUCUGUGCCGCAGUUAACACAA
rnacentral:rRNA from 1 species